UGCCUAACACAUGCAAGUCGAACGAGAUUCUUCAUUUGUUUACAAAAGAAUGAUUGCAGUGGCGGACGGGUGAGGAACACGUAAGAACUUACCUUUUGGCGGGGGAUAACAACGGGAAACUGUUGCUAAUACCCCAUAAUGCUGAGGAGCGAAAGGGAAACUGCCAAGAGAGAGGCUUGCGUCUGAUUAGCUAGUUGGAGAGGUAAAUGCUCCCCAAGGCGACGAUCAGUAGCUGGUCUGAGAGGAUGAUCAGCCACACUGGGACUGAGACACGGCCCAGACUCCUACGGGAGGCAGCAGUGGGGAAUUUUCCACAAUGGGCGAAAGCCUGAUGGAGCAAUACCGCGUGAGGGAUGAAGGAUCGUGGUCUGUAAACCUCUUUUCUUAAGGAAGAAUAAAUGACGGUACUUAAGGAAUAAGCACCGGCUAACUCCGUGCCAGCAGCCGCGGUAAUACGGGGGGUGCAAGCGUUGUCCGGAAUGAUUGGGCGUAAAGCAUCUGUAGGUGGUUUUUAAAGUCAACUGUUAAAGCCCAGGGCUUAACUUUGGAAAAGCGGUGAGCACUUAAGGACUUGAGUAUGGUAGGGGUAGAGGGAAUUCCUUGUGGAGCGGUGAAAUGCACAGAGAUAAGGAAGAACACCGAGGGCGAAAGCACUCUACUGGGCCAUGACUGACACUGAGAGAUGAAAGUCGGGGGAGCGAAAAGGAUUAGAUACCCUUGUAGUCCCGACCGUAAACGAUGGAUACUA
rnacentral:rRNA from 1 species